ACCGGCACACAGCACACUCGGCUGGAAACACACGCAGGCGCGCUUCUUAAAGGAGAAGGCUCAUAAAGGAUGGCUCUUAGAGGUGUAUGGCGCAUUGGAUUAGGUACCCGGCCCUCGUAAAGGGCUCUUGUGGGUGAUGGUGACGAACUGUUUUUCCUUAUUACCUGCCCCCAUCCAGAAGUCUGAUACCUACAGCGGGAAUCCACCCUUACAUCUCUCUAGUCCCCUGCCCUCACAUCUAACAGCACGCGCGCCCCUCCCCAACCACGGCUUGGGUGGAGUUUGGGCUGUGGACUUGGGUGGAAGCUGAGGAGCGGCAGCCUAGGCCUGCUCUUGAAGAGUAUUCAGCAUCUUAGAGAGGUUCAGAAAGAUCCCUACCGCUGGAAAUCGGAACAGCAACCAGCUUGAUAGUCGUCCCCUGUUGGAGGAGUGGCUUGAGCACUGUUUUCAAACGCUGAUUUCAGUGCCAUGAGAUCUGGUUACUGUCCUGCUGAAGGAACUGUUAUGUGUGUUAAACCAUCUCCUGCUUUCAUGUGAUGCGAGGAAUGUUCUCCAAUUAUCCCUGAUUGGCUAAUAAAGCUGCUGACCGCUUGGACUGGGAGAAUAGAGGAGCCGGAGAGAUGGGUCAGCAUUUGAGUUUGCUUCCCAACACCUACAUUGGGAACCUCACAACCUACUCAAUAUCCAGCCCCAGGGGAUCCCAUGUCCUACUUUAACCUUCAAGGAUGGCCGCCACAAACAUAAAUAAUAAAUAAUAAAGUUGCUGUGAACAUAGUCAAGCAAGUGUCCUUGUGAUAGGUUGGAACAUCCAUUGGGUAUAUGUCCUGAGUGGAAUAGCUGGGUCUUUUUCCUUUUUAAAAUUAAUUAAUGUAUUUAUUUCCUUUAAAUUCUGGCAGGACGUUCUUCUCUCUCCUCUACUCCCAGUCUGUCUCUCUCUCUCCUCUGUUCCUUCUUCCUUUUCUUUCUCUCUUUCUUCUCAGAGAAGGAAGCUGUGUCUUAAAGUAUAUUGAUUCCCAAUUUUUUGAGAAAUUGCCGUAUUGAUUUUCAAAGUGUCUGUAUAAGUUUGUACUCGCACCAGCAAUGGAGAAGUGUUUUUCUUGCUCCACAUCCUCACCAGCAUGUGCUGUCACUUAGGUUUUUAUCUUAGCCAUUCCGACAAGUGUAAGAUAGAAUCUCAGAGUUAUUUUGAUUUGUAUUUCCUGGUGGCUAAGAAUAUUGAACAUUUCUUUAAGUGAUUCUUGGCCCUUAGAGAUUCCUCUGUUGAGAUUAUUCUGUUUAGAUCUACCUCAUUUUUAAAUUGGAUUAUAUGAUUUGUUGGUGUCUAGUUUCUUAAGUAAUUUAUAUAUUUUGGAUAUCAGACCUUUGUCAGAUAUGUCGUUGGCCACAAUACUUUCCCAUUCUGUAGUCUGUUGUUUGGUCGUUUUCAUAGUGUCUUUUGCCUCAUAGAAGAUUUCAGGUUUCAUGAAGUCUCACUUGUUGAUCUUAAAGCCUGCAAGGACUGGUGUUCUGUUCUGGAAGUUGUCGCCUGUGCUAAUGCAUUGAAGACUAUUUCCCACUUUCUCUUCAAUCAAGGUGUACUGUAUAUGGUUUUAUGUUGAGAUCUUUGACCACUUGGACCUGAGUUUUGUGCAGGAUGAUAGGUAUAUAUCUAUUUCACUUUCUACAUAUGCUAUCCAGUUAGAAUAGCAUUAUUUGUUGAAGAUGCUUUCUUUUUCCUUUGUAUGGUUUUGGCUACUUUGUCAAAAAUCAAGUGUCCUUAGAUGUAUGGAUUUAUUUCUGGGUCUUUGAUUCAAUUCCAAUGAUCAAUCUAUAUGUUUAUAUGCCAAUAGCAUGUAUUUUUUUAUUAUUUUUGCUCUGUAGUACAACUUGAAAUCAGGUAUGGUGAUACCACUUAAGUUCUUUUUAUUGUAGAGAUUGUCUUAGAUAUCCUGUCUUUUUGGUUUUCCCAAUUAAAUUGAUAAUUGUUCUUUCAAGGUCUGUAAAGGCUUGUUGGAAUUUUUAUGAAAAUUGCACUGAAUAUAUAAUAUUCCUUUGUUAAGAUGGCCAUUUUUACUAUGUUAAUCCUACUGAUCCAUGAGCAUAGGAGAGCUUUUCAUCUUGUGAUAUUUUUUUUUCAAUUUAUUUCUUCAAAGACUUGAGGAAAAGACUUGUUUGUCAUAAAAGUUUUUCACUUUCUUGGCUAGCGUUACACUAUGAUAUUUUAUAUUAUUUGUGCCUAUUAUGAUGGCUGUUCUUUCCCUGGUUUCUUACUCAUCUCAUUCAUCAUUUGUAUAUAGAAGUGCUGCCGAAUUUUUUUGAGAUAAUUUUGUAUCCAGUCAUAUGGCUGAAGGGGUACCCUCUCCAUACUAUCUUAUCAUCUGCAAAUAGUGAUACUUUGUCUUCUUCCUUUCCAAUAUGUAUCCCCUUGAUCUCCUUUAGUUUUAGUUAGAGCAACAAGGUACAUUUUUAUAAUAAUAUUUGACUUUCCCAUUAAAAGUUACUGUGUGUUUAUGUGUGUAUCUGGGCCUUUCAUAGGUGACACAGUGGCUUCCGUCCCCCACUGGGGGUCUUCAUGAAAAUCUAGCUAAUGGGAAGACAGUAUUUCACCCUUAUAAUUUUACUUUUCAAAUCAUAUAAUAACAAAUGAUAAUCAGAUUGUUUCUCAUAAAUUAUAUAUCAGAAAGGAACUUAUCUGAAGAGGAUCAAUAUAUGUAAUGUGUAUAAUAUUAAUAUAAAAUAUACAUUUCAUAACUACAUAUGAAAUUAUUUCAGUAAAGAUGGAUUUAUAAAAAUUUAUCUGGUUUUAUUGUAAACUUCUUAAUUUUGCUUCAGCAUUGUCUGUUAUUCCAAAAUCAAUAAAAAGUGUAAGUAUUUUACAAUAAUUUAGAUAAUUGGUUGAUAUAUGCUAGCUCCUAAAUAUUUGUAAAUACAUGUCUAUGUAAAAUGAAUUAGAAAUUGCUUAUAUAAAUAAUAAAAUUUAUAUAAGGAAUAGUGCUUCCUCAAGACCCAGCUAUACCACUCCUAGGUAUGUACCCAAAAUUUGCUCAAGUACACAACAAGGACAUUUGCUCAACCAUGUUUGUAUCAGCUUUAUUUGUAAUAGCCAGAACCUGGAAACAACCCAGAUGUCCCUCAACAGAGGAAUGGAUACAGAAAUUGUGGUAUUUUUACACAAUGGAAUACUGCUCAGCAAUCAAAAAGGAGGAAAUCAUGAAAUUUGCAGGCAAAUGGUGGGAUCUAGAAAAGAUCCUUCUGAGUCAAGUAUCCCAGAAGGAGAAAGACUAACAUACUAUAUACCUUCUUAUAUAGACCUACAAGAUAUGAUAAACAUAAUGAAAUCUAAAUACACCUAAAGAAGAUAAACAAGAAAGCAAAUACGGGGUAAGAUGAUCAAUCCUCACUUAUAAAGACAAAUGGGAUGUGCAUUGAACGUAUGACAGGAGUCUACCACAGAAGGCACCUGAAAGACUCUACCUAGCAGUGUUUCAAAACAGAUACUAACACUCACAACCAAACCUUUGGGAGAAGGGGAGUUAGUAUGAUGUGGAAAGGAUAGGAGCUCCACAAGGACCAAAUAUAUCUGGGCACAGGGGUCUUUUCUGAGACUGACACUCCACCAAGGACCAUGUAUGGAUAUAACCUAGAACCUUUGCUCGGAUGAAGCCUGUGGUAGCUCAGUAACCAAAUGGUUUCCCAUAGUAAGGGGAACAGGGACUAUUUCUGACAGGAACUCAAUGGCAGGCUCUUUGACCUCCCCACCCCCCAAGAGAGGAACAGUCCUGCUAGGCCACAGAGGAGGACUUUGCAGCCAGUCCUGAAGAUACCUGAUAAAACAGGGUCAGAUGAAAGGGAGGGAGGUCCUCCCCAAUCAGUGGACUUCGAAAGA